GGACCUUCGGGCCUCUUGCCAUCAGAUGUGCCCAGAUGGGAUUAGCUUGUUGGUGAGGUAACGGCUCACCAAGGCGACGAUCCCUAGCUGGUCUGAGAGGAUGACCAGCCACACUGGAACUGAGACACGGUCCAGACUCCUACGGGAGGCAGCAGUGGGGAAUAUUGCACAAUGGGCGCAAGCCUGAUGCAGCCAUGCCGCGUGUAUGAAGAAGGCCUUCGGGUUGUAAAGUACUUUCAGCGGGGAGG
rnacentral:rRNA from 1 species